rnacentral:misc_RNA from 1 species
UGANGCGGGCUGGACCUCUCGGGGUUACAGCCUUGCUGAAUUAUUCACCCUUGUCUUUUGCGUACUUCUUGUUUCCUUGGUGGGUUCGCCCACCACUAGGACAAACAUAAACCUUUUGUAAUUGCAAUCAGCGUCAGUAACAAAUUAAUAAUUACAACUUUCAACAACGGAUCUCUUGGUUCUGGCAUCGAUGAAGAACGCAGCGAAAUGCGAUAAGUAGUGUGAAUUGCAGAAUUCAGUGAAUCAUCGAAUCUUUGAACGCACAUUGCGCCCUUUGGUAUUCCAAAGGGCAUGCCUGUUCGAGCGUCAUUUGUACCCUCAAGCUUUGCUUGGUGUUGGGCGUCUUGUCUCUAGCUUUGCUGGAGACUCGCCUUAAAGUAAUUGGCAGCCGGCCUACUGGUUUCGGAGCGCAGCACAAGUCGCACUCUCUAUCAGCAAAGGUCUAGCAUCCAUUAAGCCUUUUUUUCAACUUUUGACCUCGGAUCAGGUAGGGAUACCCGCUGAACUUAAGCAUAUCAAUAAGCGGAGGAA